rnacentral:lncRNA from 1 species
AUGGACACAGCCGCUAUCCCAUUCAUAUUGAAUGUAGGCCAGGGAAGAAACCGGUUCUCCAAGGCCAUCCAUUCUUCAUCAGAGGUCAGACUCGGUGUAGGUCAGGCAUUACGUAAGCGUGGAGGCAGACCGAUCUCACCUACUUGGUCGAUAUCCAAUUCCAAAUAUGGCGUUACUCUCCCUCGCAACCCGUUUUCGCUUAGAAGCGGGUCAUUGAGCAGCUGUUGGCCUUUCGCACCUCCGUAUACUUUGAUUGCAUCGAUCAAUUAAUUCGAAUUAUUCGCCGUUCUCUCGGGCUAUUUAAGAUAUAAGAUUAUCAACAAUAACCAGACGAGAAUUUCUGAUAGUUAUCGAAAACAUAAAUACCCUUAUACGACUAGGCCGUAGUCGUAGGUUGUUUGUAGUCCUGGAUUCUAGAGCAUCGGAUUUAGAUCUGUACGGAGAUUACGGUUUACGAUCUAUAAAAUUCUGCACAGAAUUAAUGAAUUAACAUUUUUUUACCCUAA